rnacentral:rRNA from 1 species
CACGUAGUUAGCCGGAGCUUUCUUGAAAGGUACCGCCACUCCUAAGUCAUUUCCUACUUAGUUCUUUCUUCCCUAACAACAGAAGUUUACAAUCCAUAGGACCGUCAUCCUUCACGCGGCAUUGCUCGUUCAGGGUUUCCCCCAUUGACGAAUAUUCCUAACUGCUGUCUCCCGUAGGAGUCUGGGCCGUGUCUCAGUCCCAGUGUGGCCGAUCACCCUCUCAGGUCGGCUACGCAUCGUCGCCUUGGUAAGCCAUUACCUCACCAACUAGCUAAUACGGCGCAGGCUCAUCUUCAAGCGAAGCUUUAAAGGCUCCUUUUAAUAUAAACAGACGCAUCUGCUUAUAUAUAAUUCGGCAUUAGCAAUCAUUUCUAAUUGUUAUUCAAACUCGAAGGUAGAUUACCACGUGUUACUCACCUUGCGCCACUAGAUGGGAAUCCAUUUCCAAUUUUGUGCAAGCACUCCAUCUUCAUUCGGGCCAUCUCGUUCGACUUGCAUGUCUUA